CUGGGAGGACCAUCUCCUAAGGCUAAAUACUCUCUAGUGACCGAUAGUGAACCAGUACCGUGAGGGAAAGGUGAAAAGCACCCCGGAAGGGGAGUGAAAUAGAACCUGAAACCGUGUGCUUACAAGUAGUCAGAGCCCGUUAAUGGGUGAUGGCGUGCCUUUUGUAGAAUGAACCGGCGAGUUACGAUUUGAUGCAAGGUUAAGCAGUAAAUGUGGAGCCGUAGCGAAAGCGAGUCUGAAUAGGGCGUUUAGUAUUUGGUCGUAGACCCGAAACCAGGUGA
rnacentral:rRNA from 1 species